UACGUAGGGUGCAAGCGUUGUCCGGAAUUAUUGGGCGUAAAGAGCUCGUAGGCGGUCUGUUGCGUCGGCUGUGAAAACCCGGGGCUCAACCCCGGGCCUGCAGCCGAUACGGGCAGACUAGAGUUCGGCAGGGGAGACUGAAUUCCUGGUGUAGCGGUGAAAUGCGCAGAUAUCAGGAGGAACACCGGUGGCGAAGGCGGGUCUCUGGGCCGAUACUGACGCUGAGGAGCGAAAGCGUGGGGAGCGAACAGG
rnacentral:rRNA from 1 species